GAUGAACGCUGGCGGCAUGCCUUACACAUGCAAGUCGAACGGCAGCACGGGUGCUUGCACCUGGUGGCGAGUGGCGAACGGGUGAGUAAUACAUCGGAACGUACCUUAUCGUGGGGGAUAACGCAGUGAAAGCUGUGCUAAUACCGCAUACGCCCUGAGGGGGAAAGCGGGGGAUCGCAAGACCUCGCGCGAUUAGAGCGGCCGAUGCCCGAUUAGCUUGUUGGUGGGGUAAAAGCCCACCAAGGCGACGAUCAGUAGCUGGUCUGAGAGGACGAUCAGCCACACGGGGAAUGAGACACGGCCCAGACUCCUACGGGAGGCAGCAGUGGGGAAUUUUGGACAAUGGGGGCAACCCUGAUCCAGCAAUGCCGCGUGAGUGAAGAAGGCCUUCGGGUUGUAAAGCUCUUUUGUCAGGGAAGAAACACCGGCUCUAACACAGUCCGGGAAUGACGGUACCUGAAGAAUAAGCACCGGCUAACUACGUGCCAGCCGCCGCGGUAA
rnacentral:rRNA from 1 species